UCAAGAGAACGUGAAAUCGCUGGAGUGGAACCGGAGAGAGUUGACGUAGCCGGGUAACUAAGUUUACCGAUCUCGCUUAACUGUGAGUUAGGUGAAUGUAUGUUGCCUAUGGCUGCGCUGACAGCGCUGGCUGUGCGUUCCGAACCGAUCUCGUUGCCCACCGCUCCGGCGGUGGUGUCUUGUCUUCGGAUAGGUUUGUCGUGGCUAGCGUUUUAUCCUGCUUGCAGGGUGUCAGUGUGAAAGUCGACCACCUCUCCGA
rnacentral:rRNA from 1 species